UGAGAUACACCAAGAUUGUGUCUGCAAGGCGGAGCAAAUGAGGUCAGGAGUUGAAGUCUGUUUUAACACUCAUCACAAUGCUUUGUGCAAAACUCAAAACUGAUGAUAUUCAGCAGUCUGAGAACGAUUCUGGUGAUCAUCUGCUUGUGAAGAUGGCUAAACAUGUGAAGAGGUCUGACAAUUGACGACAUAUUACCAAAGCAAAAGACAAGAAGAAGAAUGCAAACAGGAAUUUAUGAAGCCAGAUGAUUUUUGUGAAGGAGAACACCGCUUCUAUCAAAUCAAACCAAAAUGCUUUAUUUCCUUUACUGUCUUCAGAUUAAAAAAUUAGCCAGUCGUAGUUAUUGAUAGUCAACGGAAAGCAGUGCCAUGUCAUUGUACACACGUUUAUGUUUGACUGUAUUUAAGUAAACUAAAACUAACACUGGUUAAACUCACCCACCCAGCAAAAAGUGGUUGAAAAGACGUCUUCACCAUACGUCUAAACAACGUCUCGAUUCAGACCGUUUAAGUAAAGCCCAGUUUUCAACGUCUUUUUUUGGGCUAAAUUACGGCAAUGACGGGCUGUCAUGAUUUAGCCUGAAAAAAGCCGUUGGAAUGAUGUUGGGUGUUUAGUGGGCCAGGAUCAAGUUGGUCAUUUGGGGUGUUUUCUUAGAGCGAAGGUUUCAACGAUGAGGGUUGCAUUUUAUCUGCUUUGAGUUACUUUGCGCAGAUGCUAACAGGCUAAGACAGUUUUUUAAAAGAAGAACCAAACAACCAUACUUCAGAUAAACAUGACAGAUGAAUGAGGGUAACACAUGUACUGUGAUACACUGGUCUCGUGACCGCUACUGGUCCUGUGGUGGCAUACUGUUCACGACACGACAAGCCGCAGAACUGCUAGCUUGUAAUGUGGUCACUUAGUGGUACGCCAUCGGUCACUCUUUGAUCUGACUGCUGUUGUAGCGUCUCUGUAGCAGCAACUAUGAAGUCCUGUUGCUUAAAGAAAAAUAAUUAUCCAAGGUUGAACUCUGUCUUGAAAUCAGCAGAGUUCAAUCUAGUUUGCCAACUAAACAAGGCGACAUAAAGUUGGGUCAGUGGAAUGACAAUCAGGCAAAGUUAAAAGACACAUUAUCAACAGUAAACGGUAAAAUGCUGUUUUAUCUUCCCUCUAAAUCGUAGAAAAGUAUUGACAGUAGAAUUAAAGAUGGCUUCAACCAUCAUGGAGGCGUAAUAAUGACAUCAAUAUCAUCAAAUUGAACGAUCUCCAUCCUGAGCCUCGACUCUCUCUGCUAGCGUCCUCUAACAAUUUGGCCUAAAAGUUGAUCAUGGGAGCUUUUAGUGUAUAGAAUCAGAUAAGUGUAGUAAGUGGUAUACUCACAGAAGUCAGGUACUCUAAUACAGGAGUAUCAGACGCUGGUAGAAAACAUGUUUAAAUUUUCUGACUCUUAUAGAUUAGCCUUCUCCAGAGAAGAAACUUUAAGCCCUGUAGAUACACAGAAAACCUGCACUGUGACAUGUGUUGGUGUGUGCACGUCACUUCAUGCACAAAUGUCAAUCUGUUUAUUUCCUGUGGUGGGUGGAAAAUGCAAACCGCAGAGCUGUGAUGCUCUUUGAUAGUCCUUUUGAUACCACAUUUUAUUUUGGGUCAAACUAAACCACAGAUUUAUCAGGAAAACAGGGUCAUCUGCUGCCCAGAUAUACAGACGGUUGUCAGCUUUGGGGAUUGAAAAUGCACAUUUGAGGAGGUUAGACUGAGCUUUGUUGACAAUGUAUAUAGUUGAGCGGUGGAUAUCUCUACACUAACACGGGACAUUUUUAUGUCUUUGAAUAGCUGCAGAAAUAUCAGGUAGAAUGAGAGCAAAAAUACCAAAACUUGAUUACAAGUACCAACACUCAAGUGGAUACAACAGAUCUGUUUACUACGACCAAGCAUGCUCCAUAUGAGGCAUAUUUGUGAGAAGAUAUUCAACAAUAUUUACCCUACAUACUGACUUGAUUAUAGGAAAUACGCCAUCUCAACACACUCUUAGAAAAGACACUGAUAGAGAAUUUUAAAAUGAUCUGAAACUAACAAGCUGGUGGCUGAGACCGCUGUGCGUAAUCACCACAGCGACAUGGUUGUCAAGAAGACUUAGAAAAGGUAACUUCCUCAUGAGCUUGUCCCUCUCAUGCUUCCAGCAGCUGAUACUGGAUUGCAUGCCACUUUUAGGGAGUCUCUUGGUUGCAGAUUAGUCAUCCUUCUAGUGAUUCAACAAAUACACUUGCUCUCUCUCUCUCUCUCUCUCUCUCUCUCUCUCUCUCUCUCUUUCCUGAUGUGGUGCUCUGACUCCUCCAUAUUUUUUUUUUCUUUUGGCCACAACCUCUUCUCAUUUCCUCUCUGAAUGGCUCCUUUAACAGCACUCUUCCUCCCUUCAGCUUUGACCUUCCGUUAUGACUGCUUCGUAUCAUUUAAAAUCUCUCCUUUUUUUUCUAGACUGUUUUUCGCAGCAUAAAACUAAACAGGAUCAUUGGGUGUUUCUAGAAUUGAUGGGGAAAUUAUUUCACUUAGAUAUAUUCAUUAUUACUCAAAAACACUUCUCUGCCUGGGUGUUCCUCAGGGUUCUGUUCUUGAACCCCUAAACACAUGAUAACUAAAAAUUCAGUCCCUCAGAUUGAUUAUCGAAAGACUGUUCUGCAAACUAAUUUGGAUCAAUUAUCAUAGUUUAUUCAGCUCCAUGAUAUGCAUAUUUAUAGGUCUAUUAAAUGGCUGUUUCUUAUAUUUCAACUUCUAUCAAAAAAAGCGAACAAAACAAUCACAGCAGUAUUUUUCUGUUGAACUUUGGAGCCUCUAAAAUAAUCUCAUGUGGCGGCUUAACCCUCAAUAUCCUCUGAGCAAAGUAACCAACAGAAAUUAAUAUUGAGAAAACCUCUCAUGUUUGAACUUCCUCAUCAAAUAUCAUUGAGUUGACUGUUUGAGUUUAGUCAAGCAGAGUUCAUCCUGCCGUUCAGACUCCAGAGUUUGACAUUUCACCGCAGCCUGGGAUGCUUGACAAAUAUGGGUCCUUGCUGGAUUAGGAUCACAGCACUGGAUCUCUCUCCACUAACCCCCGAAGGCCUGAGGGCAAAACGUGUGGGAAAGCAAGAUUGACAGGAAGUUGUCGUGUAAAGGCAGAGGUGUGUGUAUAUGUGUGUGUUUGCUUUCUCGCGUGCAUUUGCUUAUGUGUGUGUGUGUGUGUGUGUUUGACCAGCGGGCAGAACACAGGGCCAGGGCAGGAAACAAAGUGGUUGUGCCACCGGUUAGAGGAAACAGAACGGCAGAUAAAUUACUCAGAGUUGGGUUGGCAGGACUUCUGAAGGUCCUGAGCUGAGUGGACAUUGAGGGUGGACAGAGUGUUGACAUGGAGGCUGACGUGCUGAACCCAACAGGAAGAUAAACAAUACAUCUAAUUAUUUUUAUUCACCCACUUUUUCAACCUCAGUGUGCAUGACUUACUCUUCUCUGGGAGAUGUUUGAGCAGUUCGAGGAUGAAAAUAAAACUGUAUUUUAGACCAAUCAGAUAGGCUAUCAAUUCUAUGUGUAUGUGAGAAGAUAGUGGGGGUAUAAAAAGGACAAAUCAAGCUCCAGCCCAGCUUCAAGGGUGCUUUGUUGAUUUUUUUUAAGUCUUUCAUGCCACUGAAUAAAUCACCGCUCUUUACGAAAAAUUCUCUCAUUUGGUGUUUUGACUGUGAUUAUGCAUCCCGAUGAAUUUUACAUUUUUGUGUCUGGUUAUUUAUUCUUUAAUUUAUCACUCAUCUGUACAUCAUACAAACUGCAUGGCUAUGAUGAGAAAUUCAUUUACGGUAAAGUGUGCCAUCUAGUGGUCAGUGUUCACCUUUUCCUGCAUAUAGCCCACAAAUAUAGCUUAAAGUGAGCCCCCUUGGGAAUCAGUGUCUGUCCUGUUGUUUGCAAAAGUUUUAUUAAAAAAAGAGGAAAGUUCAGAGUUUGUCUUGGUUCUCAGAUUACGGGGUGUUUGUAGAUUUGAAAAUAUUCAGAUUGAAAGCAGAACGCAUGAGCGGCGUGAUUUAAGAAAAAUGCGAAGUGCCCCUUUUCUUACUAGACACACACCUGAUCAAACAUGGACUCCACCAGAUCUCUACUGGUAUACUGUGAUAUCAGGCGCUAAGAUCCUUUGAGCCCUGUUCAUGGUCAUGGAUCUGACUUUAGCGGCGGACAGGAGAUGGGGGUCAGUCCCACACAUGACAAACUGUGACACUGUGUUCUGACACCUUUUUUUCAGAACCAGCAUGAACUUUUUCAGCAGUUUGAGCUCCAGUAGAUCUUCUAUUGUCAGCCUCUCCUUUCCACUGGGAUCAGUGAGCCUUGGCCACCUACAGUACCUAGUAUAAGUCAGUACACACCCUAUUAAAAGUAAUGUAUUACUCAAUAUCUAGAUGAGCAAAAGUACAAAUUUUUGACAAAGCUGAGUUUAACACAACAUUUUAUUUACCAUAAGAUUAAAAAAUAAGGAUAGUGGUGGUGACUAAAAUUUAACUUUGCUCCCAGUACUUUGAUCGGGUGUACUCAUUUUUGUAUGCAACUUAAAAAAUCUUGUUUGCAAUCAAUGGUCUACAUUUGGGGGAGUAUUUUGUUGUAUAGUCUGACUUAGAAAAUGUUGAUUUUGAAAGUAAACUUAAGGUUUUCCGACAACUCUGAAGGGGUGUACUCAUUUAUGCUGAGCACUCUACUGUCAGUAGUUAACCAGUCACCCCUCCUU
rnacentral:lncRNA from 1 species